rnacentral:lncRNA from 1 species
CACGGGUGUUGCUGAGGGCGAUGCGGGCGGUGGUGUGGAACACGCGCUCGGCGCUGCUGUACUCGAUAGGCGGCUGGACCGUGCUGGGGGGCAUGCUGCACUACAGCUACACGACCAGAGGCGGAGCCGAGGGCGGCGGCGGGCACGAGAACGAAAGUGAAAAGGCGGACGAAGAGCUCUCCAGAGAGGUGGUGGUUACAGAUACACCCAUAGGGUUACAGGUCACCACGUAGUCCUCCCCCUUCUGAGAACUGAGCGGUCAGGGACGUGGAACGUUGUGCUGUGGAGGAGAGCCUGGGGACGAGGUCCUGUCGUCUGGCAGCGCCCUGUCGGUUGGAGAGGUUCUGUUGCUUUGUUGAAACGACAGAUCCAUGUCCGAAAUUCCUUUGCAGAACCCGCAGGCUUUCUUGCCUGUUCACAUCGAUGCUAUUCUUUGCACAUGUACUCAAUUUAUUAAAUGUGAACUAGGUUCAACGGAGUCUUGUGAGAUGGUGGUGAGCUGGAAUGCUGCCCCGGGGGCUGGCCAGCUGCUUUAGCAGCUAUUUUGUGAAGGUUUCCCAGCACAGGGGCUGCUGUGCAUGAGCUGCUCUCUCAACCAAUUGGGUCCA